rnacentral:rRNA from 1 species
AGUACGGCCGCAAGGUUAAAACUCAAAUGAAUUGACGGGGGCCCGCACAAGCGGUGGAGCAUGUGGUUUAAUUCGAUGCAACGCGAAGAACCUUACCUGGUCUUGACAUCCACGGAAGUUUUCAGAGAUGAGAAUGUGCCUUCGGGAACCGUGAGACAGGUGCUGCAUGGCUGUCGUCAGCUCGAGUUGUGAAAUGUUGGGUUAAGUCCCGCAACGAGCGCAACCCUUAUCCUUUGUUGCCAGCGGUCCGGCCGGGAACUCAAAGGAGACUGCCAGUGAUAAACUGGAGGAAGGUGGGGAUGACGUCAAGUCAUCAUGGCCCUUACGACCAGGGCUACACACGUGCUACAAUGGCGCAUACAAAGAGAAGCGACCUCGCGAGAGCAAGCGGACCUCAUAAAGUGCGUCGUAGUCCGGAUUGGAGUCUGCAACUCGACUCCAUGAAGUCGGAAUCGCUAGUAAUC